CCUACGGGGAGCAGCAGUGGGGAAUAUUGCACAAUGGGGGAAACCCUGAUGCAGCAACGCCGCGUGAGUGAAGAAGUAUUUCGGUAUGUAAAGCUCUAUCAGCAGGGAAGAAAAUGACGGUACCUGAGUAAGAAGCCCCGGCUAACUACGUGCCAGCAGCCGCGGUAAUACGUAGGGGGCAAGCGUUAUCCGGAUUUACUGGGUGUAAAGGGAGCGUAGACGGCGAUACAAGUCUGAAGUGAAAGCCCGGGGCUCAACCCCGGGACUGCUUUGGAAACUGUGUUGCUGGAGUGCUGGAGAGGCAAGCGGAAUUUCUAGUGUAGCGGUGAAAUGCGGAGAUAUUAGGAAGAACGCCAGUGGCGAAGGCGGCUUGCUGGACAGUAACUGACGUUGAGGCUCGAAAGCGUGGGGAGCAAACAGGAUUAGAUACCCGGGUAGUC
rnacentral:rRNA from 1 species